rnacentral:rRNA from 1 species
UGGGUGAUCUGCCCUGCACUUUGGGAUAAGCCUGGGAAACUGGGUCUAAUACCGAAUACACCUUGCUGGCUGCAUGGCCUGGUGGGGGAAAGCUUUUGCGGUGUGGGAUGGGCCCGCGGCCUAUCAGCUUGUUGGUGGGGUGAUGGCCUACCAAGGCGACGACGGGUAGCCGGCCUGAGAGGGUGUCCGGCCACACUGGGACUGAGAUACGGCCCAGACUCCUACGGGAGCA